rnacentral:rRNA from 1 species
ACGAACGCUGGCGGCGUGCCUAACACAUGCAAGUCAACUUGACUGAAGGAGCAAUCUGACAGUAGAGUGGCGCAAGGGUGCGUAACGCGUAAGUAACUUGCCCCAAGGUAAGGAAUAACGUCGAGAAAUCGGCGCUAAUACCUCAUAAUGCAGCGGAUCCGCAUGGAUAUGUUGUUAAAGGUUUACCGCCUUGGGAUAGGCUUGCGUCUGAUUAGUUAGUUGGUGUGGUAACGGCACACCAAGGCUACGAUCAGUAACUGGUCUGAGAGGAUGAUCAGUCACACUGGAACUGAGACACGGUCCAGACUCCUACGGGAGGCAGCAGUGAGGAAUAUUGGGCAAUGCUCGAAAGAGUGACCCAGCAACGCCGCGUGGAGGAUGAAGGUAUUCUAUAUCGUAAACUCCUGUGAGAGCAGACGAAAGACAGAUUAUUAAUCUGGAUGACUGUAUGCUCAGAGGAAGCCCCGGCUAACUACGUG